CCUACGGGUGGCAGCAGUGAGGAAUAUUGGUCAAUGGACGCAAGUCUGAACCAGCCAUGCAGCGUGCAGGAUGACGGCUCUAUGAGUUGUAAACUGCUUUUGUACGAGGGUAAACUCAAAUACGCGUAUCUCUCUGAAAGUAUCUUACGAAUAAGGAUCGGCUAACUCCGUGCCAGCAGCCGCGGUAAUACGGAGGAUUCGAGCGUUAUCCGGAUUUAGUGGGUUUAAAGGGUGCGUAGGCGGUCGGAUAAGUUAGUGGUGAAAUCCCGAGGCUCAACCUCGGAAUUGCCUUUGAUACUGGUCGGCUAGAGAGUAGUUGCGGUAGGCGGAAUGCAUGGUGUAGCGGUGAAAUGCUUAGAGAUCAGACAGAACACCGAUUGCGAAGGCAGCUUACCAAGCUACUUCUGACGCUGAGGCACGAAAGCGUGGGGAGCAAACAGGAUUAGAUACCCUAGUAGUC
rnacentral:rRNA from 1 species